rnacentral:rRNA from 1 species
CUACGGGAGGCUGCAGUGAGGAAUUUUGCGCAAUGGGGGAAACCCUGACGCAGCAACGCCGCGUGAGUGAUGAAGGCCCUCGGGUCGUAAAGCUCUGUCAAGUGGGAAGAAUCUAUCGAUAUUGAAUAGAUAUUGAUACUGACGGUACCACAAGAGGAAGCACCGGCUAACCCCGUGCCAGCAGCCGCGGUAAUAUGGGGGGUGCAAGCGUUAUUCGGAAUCAUUGGGCGUAAAGGGCGCGCAGGCGGCCUUGUCAGUCAGAUGUGAAAGCCCGGGGCUCAACCCCGGAAGUGCAUUUGAAACUAUGAGGCUUGAGUAUGGGAGAGGGAAGUGGAAUUCCUGGUGUAGCGGUGAAAUGCGUAGAUAUCAGGAGGAACACCGGUGGCGAAGGCGACUUCCUGGACCAAUACUGACGCUGAGGCGCGAAGGCGUGGGGAGCAAACAGGAUUAGUACCCUUGUAGUC